UACGGAGGGAGCUAGCGUUGUUCGGAAUUACUGGGCGUAAAGCGCGCGUAGGCGGCUUUGUAAGUUAGAGGUGAAAGCCCGGGGGCUCAACCCCCGGAACUGCCUUUAAGACUGCAUCGCUUGAAUCCAGGAGAGGUGAGUGGAAUUCCGAGUGUAGAGGUGAAAUUCGUAGAUAUUCGGAAGAACACCAGUGGCGAAGGCGGCUCACUGGACUGGUAUUGACGCUGAUGUGCGAAAGCGUGGGGGAGCAAACAGG
rnacentral:rRNA from 1 species